GACCGCGGGAUUCCGGAUUGUGGGGCGACGCUGCCGGGCCUGCGCCCUGGAGCCCGCGGGUCGCGCCGGCCGGGUGGGCGCCGCCGAGGGGGGAAGGUCCUCGCAGCCUCGCGGCUCGUCCGCCGCAGUGUGGCCGGUGGGCGCCGCCAGCGACAGAGCCUGCGAGGGAAGAGGUAGGCACAGAGGCGCCGGCACAUGGUUCUCUGCUCAUGUUGUAGCUUCUCUCCCGCAGCCCUAAACUU